CUCUGUCUCUGUCUGGUGAGUGCAUACAUCCUAAUGCAAAAACCCUCAAAACAAAAACAAAAACCAUGGCGCCAUGCCUUGGCUCUGAAAGUGUCAGGAGCAUGACUCUGACCUGCGUUUCCUUGGGCUUGGCCUCCCCCUUCCUACAGAUGCGCCCACAGCCUGCACGAGCCACCUCCCCAGCUCCGCCGCUGCCCACCAGCCCUCCCUCUCUCCCCAUCUCCACCAGGCGUUCUUGUCAGCCCAGUUCUCAUCCUCCUCUCCUCUAGACUGCUUCCGAGACUUCAUUUCAUCUGCGAUUAUUGGUACCGACCAGGGCCAGGUUCCCCACACAAAUGGGUCAGGACUGCUCUCUCUCUGUCUCUGUCUCUCUCUUUCUGGCGAGCACAGGCACCCUAUAGCCAAAACCUCUACAGAAAAAAGAACCGUGGACAAAUUGUAGCAGCACAGACAGGUCCAGGAGAUGCGUGUGUGUUUCUGGAGUCCAACACUGAGGGGCCGGUAGACCACAGGGAAGGGGACCUGGCUUUCCAGGUAGUUUGAAAAACAGCCAUAGCAGCCCAGCUGGAGCUCCAACCCAGGGAAGGGCCGACGCAUGCCGUGAGCCCCCCUGUGGCAGGACACUGUCCUGCCCCAGCCCUGCCCCGUGUCCCCUGGCCUGCAGAGGCCCAGAGCACCCUCCUGCCACCCAUGGCCUGACCUCCUCUUCCUGACUCUGCGGCCACCUGCCCCGGGGUGACUCUUCCUCCUGUGGCCGACCGUGGCCCCCACACAGGUGCUGGUUUACAACCCUCCCUCGGAGGUGAGUGGGAGGCAGAGAGCCUGGUGCUGCCCCGUGGACAGGGCAUGGACCACGUGCCAGGCACAUGCCCACGAAGCAUGUAGACUUGAGCACCCCAUUUUCUAGAGAGAAACCAAGGCCCACAGCAGCCAACCUUGUUCCUGCCCAUCCACGCGGCCCUCGUCAGGCUGAGGGCUCUCCGCCCAGUGUGACUCCAGGAAAGCCCGGGGUCGAGGACCCGCCUGGGGUCAGCCCACUUCAGAGAUGGAAAGGAAUCGUAAUUCCGAAGCUUGCUCCCCAUUGUGGAAAAGAGGCUCAGCGUUUCUUAAUCUGAGUCCAUGUGCCCAGAUUUGGGGCGUGCACAGGACGAAAGCUGGGGGACAGAGAAGGCACUCAGAUGACGGGCGGGAGCCCUGAUCCCACAGGAGGCCGAAGCUGCCAGGCCAGCAUCCUUGGAAAUCCUGGUGGUUUCCGUAAUGACCCAGCAGGAGUGAGGAACACGCUCUCCUGAAAGGUCACCUAUCCGAGAGGGGACGCCUACCCAGCUCCCGCGGCCUGUCAUCUUCCGCGUUAAUUAAUAUCAAACGUGUGCACUCUUGG